AAAAAAUCUUAAAAUGAACAAAGAAGACGCAGAGAAAAAGGAGCUACCAUUAAUUUUAAUGGUACUUUCUUUUUACCGGACGGGAAGUGCAAACUGUGUGUGAACAAAGCUAUCAAAUUUGAUGAAAAGUCAACCGGCAACUUGCAUAAACAUCUGAAAAGGGUUCACCCGAAAAGUUAUUCUUCGUAUGAAGCUUUGAAAGCGAAAAAUUCAAAAAUAGAAGUGAAAAUUUCCGGUGAGGCAAAAGAUCGAAAAUCCUGCUUCAGUACUCUUAACUCAGUCCAGGUAAAUAAUGAAAUUUGUGACUACAUUGUAACGGAAAUGUUACCACUAUGUCUUUGUAUCUCUGAAAAAGAAACAAAUAAUAUAUAUAUUUAUAGAUCUGACGAUCUCAAAAAAAGAAACCAAUGUGACUUAUGUUUAUAUCUUUGUAUCUCAGAAAAAGAAACAUAAUAUAAAUUUCAAAUUUAAAAA